AUGCUCGCUUUGGCAGCACAUAUACGAAAAUUGGAAAGAUUCAGAGAAGAUUAGCUUGGCCCCUGUUCAAGGAUGACACACAAAUUUGUGAAGUGUUCCAUAUUUUU
rnacentral:snRNA from 1 species